CCCAAAUAGACUCUCUAAUUGGCACAGAUGGAGUGGUAGGAGGGAAACUCUUUUUUGCUUAUUCACAAACUCUUAUGGACAGAAUCUGUAGUUUUCAUGUGUCUGUGAACAGUAGACGUGUUCCUAACUGACACCCGCUUAACCAACUUGCCAGACUGACAGAGGUUCUCCGUACUCCUGUCUCUUGUCCUGGCUGAGGGCCAUGGCUCUUGGAGCCCUCCAGGCGAGUCGGCUACUCGCUGUUAUACCCCGCACUUCUGAUCUCCCCAGUUGAGUUAUGUGCUUACCAAGAGGUCCCAAACCUGUUAACACCAUUUGUUUUUGUUACUAUACUCAGUUGUCAAAGAAAUAGCAGGUAAGCCUGUGAAAGCAGAAGGGAAGAGGGUUAUUGCUUUUACAAACGCCACAUUGAAUGCGUUAGAAAGACUCAAUAAGGAGAGUCACAACUUUAAAAUGAGAACAAAGAUGUUGCAUGCUUGUCCCCAGCCGUGUUCAAAUUCGGGGACUGAGAAGGGAGAGCUCUGGAUUAGCCAGGAUGGGGGUUUUUCCAGAGGAGUGCGAAGGAGGGAGAGAAGGUCCAGGAGUUAAAGGUGUGUGUGCUCCAGGGAGUAUGGUGGUGGAUAUUGGACUUUAAGCUGAGUAAGGAGGAAAAUGAGAACAUGAAGGGUGUGAGAAACAGUGAAAGGAUGGUAGUCAUGGUCGACUGGAGGGGGUUGGGGUAAGCGUGAGAGUCACCUGAAAUAUCAGAGGUUGUAAUUGGAGAACAGAAUGCUUGUAAUUGAGGUUAUGGGGGGUGGUGUGCAGUUAAUGGUAAUGACAGGAUAGGAUUGGGGGGCUGAAGUCUUGUAGAGGACAACUCAAUAGGGGUGAACAAAAAGGGUAUGAGAGGCCAGCUUCUAUUGGAAGGAUAUUGAAAUCCCUAAGACUUACCCCAGAAAUAGGGUUGGAGGGAGACAGUGAAAUGGCUCAAAGAAUAAAGAGUGAUGUGCGAUUCGGUCAGUGGCAAGUCAGUAAGUGCUGAGGGUGUUGAGAGGACAGAGAACAUCGUGAGCUGCCACGUCGGGGAAAUGUCGCGGAGGAAUGGGGUCCCGUCUGGGUGUCGAAGGCUGGAGAGUGUCUGGGGACAGGCAGAGAGGAUGGGAAGGUGUUUCAAUUUGUGGGCCAUAGGAGGAGCACAGGCCAAAUGGCAAGAAAGAGUGUGGGGUGUUCUUGAGGUCAGCGAGUCUACCAGCUCUGAAAGCUUUGGAAUGUUGCACUGAGGGCUUUUGGUUUUGUGCUUUUCACUUUUUCUGCAGAAAAGCAAUUAUUGUUCGGCUGCUGCCUUUCAGAAUUCUCUCUAAGUGCUAAUCUCUACUGCUGUUCUCCUGUGAGUCAGAAGGCAUUCUUGCGUUGAAGUUUCGAGGCUGCGAGAAAUUGCCUACGCCUGUAAACAGAGUCUCCUCCUGUUGGUGGAACCCGACUGGAAGCCAGAAGGCAAGAGAACCCAGGUGAUGCAGCCAAAGUGGUCACCCUCUCGAGGUACAGCCAGCAAGAGAAAAGCCAGGAAGAUCUGGAGAGGAAAAAGAAGAACAACCAACACCCUAGUUUUUCAACACUUCAGUUUCCCAGAAAUCCAUGUCCUUUUAGUUGCUUCCAAGAGCAGCACUUUAUUAAAAUUCUGAAAAAUUA